UGGUUGGUUUACUCUGAAUUUACAAAGAGGAGUGGAGUGGAGCCGAACCUGCCUCAACGGCACUGAACUACAGCCAUGGGAUGAUGGGAGCGUGCCUCAACGACGAGAGCAAUAGUGAGGAGAGCUAUACAUCCUAGCAAGUGGCUGAUUGGAGUUGCACUGCUGCAGCGAAGAAAAUACUGUCAUGUAGGAUUAUAUUUGCAGUCGCAUUUCUUUAUGUGUUUCCUCUAAUAUGCAAGGAGGUAUCAGCAGCACCAUAUGGAAUUGAAAGAGGGGCUCAACAAUAUUUGGGGUCUCGGAUAACUCUCUGGCUUGACAGGCACUCAGUAUGCAGGUUGGAAACUGUGUCAUCAAAGAAGAAAUGCAGAUGCUGCAGUCUCAUUUUCAAAUUUUAUUUGGCUGGUUUUUCCUUUUUCCUGAUUGGAAGCUCAUAUUUUUUCCUAUGAUUUUUUAUUUUUCUAUUUGAAAAUAAAUGAAAACUAUCUGGCCCAAUCCCUUGAAAUUUUAGACAGUACACAAUGCUGGAUAGGAACUAUCAUGGUAAGCCUUUUGACUUUCUCCCACUAGAUCUAAGAUUCUAAAGCAUAUAAGAAGUAAUUUUCUAAUUUUUGUCAACUUUCCAAUUGGAAACCAAAGUCCAAUCCACCCCUACUAGAGGAUACAAAUCUUGUCAGUCAAGCAAUGUAAGAUUCUAUUGUUGCUGCAAAGAAACACUGGAGGCUGACUUGCAGUCACCACAGCAUGAGCUGAAGGGGAUAGAGAAAAUUCACCCAGCAAAGGAGCCAUCUCAUUAAAUUCUUAGAAGACAAUGAAAGAAUUUAAGGAGUCUUCACAGCAUGAACUAAAAGGGAUGUGGGAUCAUCUUCAUCCAUCAAUGGAGCCUUCUCAUUUAACAUCUCAGAAGACAAAGAAGGAUUUUGAUGAGCCGCAAAAGAGGGCUCUGUAAUAGCAUCAGCUACCUGAGAGGGUUUUGAAUACAUGUAGAUUCCUACAAAGAACCUAGGACAAUAAAAUGGUGGGGAAGAACAUCUCUCUACCAAGAUGCUUGGGUAGCAGAUUUCCGUGAGGCUAGAACAGUCUACAGCGACAUGGCCCAUUUGAUAGCACCCACAAGUGCAACAAGAUAAAGCAAGACCUUCAUAAUCCAAGAGCUGAGCACAAUAUAUGCUUUUAGGUCUUUCAAAAUGUCUAGCUCAACAGCUGUUCUUUUUGGACUUUUAGUACCAUAUUCGGCACUAGUGUCUUGUCUGUAAUCUUUUGCUUGUAUUGCUGAUCUAGUUGUAUCAGCCGGACUUGGUGCAUAGCACCAUAUAUCGUACCUGCUCUGUUGGUUUUCUUGGUAAUCGAUCUCUAAUUAAAAAAAGAAAUCUAGAUCAACCUGAAUACAGGUAAAGGUAGUAUGGGAGAAGUAGAAGUUGCUCUAUCUAUUGAUAGGAAUCUUCCUAGGGAGUUUUCAAUCGGUGCCAAGCAAGAAUCAAUCCAAUUUACUGAGCAUCAACUGAGAAACAUACACAACUAAAUCGAGACUAUCUUAUACGAAGACGAUGGACAACCCUGUUUCAUUAUAUGUUGAGUAAACUCUACCAUAAACCUAUCUUGUUCCGUUUAGAAUUCAUUUUUGUUUACUAAUGUGGAGAUGCAUAAUAUUUGUCAUAUCAAAGGCUUUUAAGAUGUUACAGAAGGGCAUUAAUAACACUGCGUAAAAACUGAUUACUGCAGCUUGAGAAAGUAUUAGGGAAAAUUUGAGAGUUCUAUGUAACUAAUUUAUACUAAUUUAAGCGGUAAUCUGAAAUACCAUGAAUGCAGUAAGUGUCAAUGGUAAAUUUACUACAAAGUUAAUGGAAUUAAAUAAAACGCAGUAUUCAAAGGUUCCAUCAAUAAUAAUACUGUUCAAGAUGUGAAAUUCUUACAAUUAUUCUAAUUUAUGAGGCUGAUUGGGCGGAGUAUAAUUACAUUUGACUCAGUAGAAACAAUACAGACAUAGGUGGAAGCAAUCAUCAGUGGAAGUAGAUCUAUUGGGUUCAAGUUUGUCCAAAUUCAUAUCCAUAUUUCUUCUUUGAUUCCAUGGUUUCCAACAUGCAUACUAAUUGCAAAAAUUGGAUUGAAAAGAGCUAUGCUUCUGUGGAUGUUGGAACUUCCUGAGCGUGAUGCUGUUUUAGCACACAAAGGCAUUAAAAAGUGGAGUUCAAAAGACUGUUCUGGUAGAAAUUUUCUGCUCUCGAUCUCCAAGUGAACUGUUGCUGGCGAGAAAAGCAUAUUAUCUGAAGUAUAAAAAAUCUUUGGAAGAGGACAUUGCUUCACAUACAAGUGGGGAUUUCGAGAAGGUAUCCUAGUACCAUGUUGCCAUUAAUUCUUCAUGUCAAACCUAACUUCCAUUAAUGAAAUUGAACAUGAAGAGUUUCUAAGGCUUAAGAAAGAUAUAACUCUUAUGGUAAUGUUAUUUGGCAGAAAUGAGUUGGAUUUUGUAUAUGUUUGUAAACAUUAUGGAUUGUGGAGGCUUGAAUUCUUUACUUUUGUAUAUGUUUGUCAAUAUAAUAUUUUAAUGAUAUCAGUUUU